rnacentral:rRNA from 1 species
GCGUCUGAUUAGCUAGUUGGCGGGGUAAUGGCCCACCAAGGCGACGAUCAGUAGCCGGCGUGAGAGGGUGAUCGGCCACACUGGAACUGAGACACGGUCCAGACUCCUACGGGAGGCAGCAGUGGGGAAUUUUGCGCAAUGGACGAAAGUCUGACGCAGCAACGCCGCGUGGGUGAUGAAGGUCUUCGGAUUGUAAAACCCUGUCGUCAGGGACGAAGGUUGGGGCUUUAAUAGAGUUUCAACUUGACGGUACCUGGAGAGGAAGCCCCGGCUAACUCUGUGCCAGCAGCCGCGGUAAUACAGAGGGGGCAAGCGUUAUUCGGAAUUACUGGGCGUAAAGGGCGCGUAGGCGGUUCUUUAAGUCGGAUGUGCAAUCCCCGAGCUCAACUUGGGAACUGCAUCCGAAACUGGGGAGCUAGAGUGCUGGAGAGGGUGGUGGAAUUCCACGUGUAGCGGUGAAAUGCGUAGAGAUGUGGAGGAACACCAGUGGCGAAGGCGGCCACCUGGACAGUAACUGACGCUGAGGCGCGAAAGUGUGGGUAGCAAACAGGAUUAGAUACCCUGGUAGUCCACGCUGUAAACGAUGAACACUUGGUGUGGUGGGAGUUGACCCCUGCCGUGCCGGAGCUAACGCGUUAA